ACGCUCGACACCUACGGAGGCAGCAGUUGGGAAUAUUGGACAAUGGAGGAAACUCUGAUCCAGUGACGCCGCGUGAAGGAAGAAGGUCUUCGGAUUGUAAACUUAUUUUGUCAGGGAAGAAAAAAUGACUGUACCUGAAGAAAAAGCACCGGCUAACUACGUGCCUGCAGCCGCGGUAAUCUGAGCGGGCUGGCAAGGC
rnacentral:rRNA from 1 species